rnacentral:lncRNA from 1 species
CGUGCUCCGAGAUCACAAACAGCCUGUCGCGGAUCACGACGCUCACACCCGUCCACCCUUCUUUCAUCCCACCGCUCAUCUCUCGCCACGUGCCUUCGUCGGAGUCGUACACUUGUCCCAUCGGUGGAAACAUGAACGGCCACGCCCAUCCUUCUGUUACACACAUCUCUUUCCCGAUCACGGCUGAGUCAUACUUCGCCAACACCAUCGGCAACUUCUUCACAACCGUCCACGUGUCAUUAUCUGGAUCAUACGAUUCAACUUCCGUAGUUGCUUCUCCGUUUCCGCCCACACUCCCACCAACGGCCAUGAUUUUACCGUUAACAUUCCCGGAGACGAAGUACGUUCUCGGGCUCAUCAUCGGAGAUAUACACGACCAACGAUUCGUUAGAGCAGUGUAAACGACGGCGGAGCGGUUUACAUCUCCGCCGCCGAGUACAAAAAGCUUCCCCUGACGUGGCAUCGACGCGCAUGAGAGUGCGUGAGGAGACGAGAUUUUGGUGAAAGAGUUUGGCAUGGGAGGUAAAACAAACCAACGGCCAGAUGCAAGGUCAAGGGAUUGCCAUUGAAUCCUAGCCGUUGAUUUGUUGAAAGCGAAGACAAAUAGGUAAGGAGAAGAGAUAGAAAGAGAUUGCUUGGAGAAGAGGAAUCUAGGGUUUGUGAUGGUUUUGUUCCAUGAAGAUGAAACAGAGCGAUAUAGAGCAUGGUAUGGGACCAAUUCGAUCUUCUUGAAGUCAUGUUCUCCUCUUGCUAUUACAAGACUUUGUUCGUAUAUUCAAUCUAAUAUAAUAGUUGAAGAUGUUUCUGGUUAUGAUAUUGUGACUUAGACAUUGCAGUUACAGAUUCAACAAGCAAGGUUUUGCCAGAGCCUCUAUAGGAGGAUCAAACAAGAUUUCUGA